GAAAAUUGCAACUUGUGUGCAGAUUUGGCCUCAGUAGGCUCUACAUUAGAGACUGAGCGAGUUUGUGAACAUGAACAACGUCCGUCUCUACAUUUUGCGGCUCGUCCUCGCAUGCAUAAUACUGAACGCGAUACUUGUCGCUGAGGCCAAGAAAAAACAUCACAAAGUUCCUGCUACCACAGCUGUUCACCAGGCGUCAAAACACCAAGAUAUUUCCAAAAUUACGAAGAACAUUCACAAACCUAAACAUCCGAAGAAGUCAAAACGAAGUACUUAUAGAAGGAGCUGGUCUUCUAAGGAGUACAGCUACAUGCCUCCAUACUUGGUGUUCAACAGAAAAGUAGGCGCUUACUACCCAUACUACGUAAAUCCCGAAAAUAACAACCGACGAAGCAUGGUUACUAGACAAGGCUGAAAAAGUAUGAAAAUUCUGUAUUCAAAUGCAAAGGCUGAACUUAUUGGUAAUUUUAGGUAAUUUAUUAAGUUUUAUUAGUUAUGUUUAUAUUCUAACUUGAUUUAACGGACCUAACAGUUGAACUUCAUCAUCAUCAUCACCAUCUCAGUCAUAGGACGUCCACUGCUGAACAUAGACCUCCCCCAAUGCUUUCCAUGUUGCGCGGUUGGUAGCGGCCUGCGUCCAGCGCCUUCCUGUACUUAUUUAACUACUUUUAAAUAAGUAGAGUUAGGUCACUCUAAGAAACAAUAACAUUUUAAGUCUUACUUUACUAUAUAACUUAUAUGCCUAAAUGUAUGUUUGUAAAUAAAAUGUUGGAUUCAAA